rnacentral:hammerhead_ribozyme from 1 species
AUCCAGAUGACGAGUCCCAAAUAGGACGAAA